CGCCAGCCAGGCACUGCAAGCAGGAUGAGCUCAUUGGAAGCAGGCUGCAAUAGUCCCCGCCUACCGCAUUUCUCCCCCCAGGACGCCUUUCCCUGAACAGCCAGGCUCACGCUGGGGGAUGGGAAGGAGCUCCCAGGUUGCAAUUGAUGUCUCAGUUUCGCCCCCACCGUGUCUGGUCUGGACGGCUGGGCUGGACUAAGCCUCCUAAGCGCAAAGCCAAGCCCCACUGGGCGCGGCCAACUCACCGUGGCAACCCCCUUCCUUUUCUUCUCGGUUCCUGCCCGCAGCUUCGUCCCGCCCGCCCCUGGAGUGGCCAAAGUUCCUGUUGCUUGGAAAGAGGCAAAACCAUCUGGGACCAAUUAGCGGGAAGGGGCUCAGCAGGACUGCAGGGCAAGCCAGGCUGAGAGACCCGGCCUUGGGCAUUCCCUCCCCCUUUUCAAUGCAAGCCUGAAGUCAAGGGGCCAUGACGUUCAAAUGGAUAGGAGAGCUGCGUGGAGUCAACUGACUGAAGGGGGGAAUUAGAGUUGUCAUGUCUUGCUGACUAGUGCUUAAUAUAUGUUGUUUGCAUGACGGCUACUUAUAUUUUUGUCCCUUCUGCUUUCCGUGCUAAAAGAAAUCAGUUCGUGUACGGUCUGUUGCAACAGCGUUCUCUCUUGAAUCUGUGCUGUAGGUUGUUACCUGUCUUACUGGUGGUGCGUGUUGCAACCGGUAACGUGGCUUGCAUGCUAUAUAAGCUGCUGUAGUGACUGAUGGCUGUUGGAGUUCUUCUCAGGCUGCCAUUCUAUGCAGGGUUACUUGGAAGGUUACUCAGGUUGGAGUGAAUUGAAGAAGGCAAGAUUAGAAGCUUCUGACUCAUUCCCUUUCAUCCUGCACUAAUAGAUCAUGAUGUAAACAAAAGAAGAACUGUUAUCUUUGGAUGGGAGAGUUUACAGUCUGCAAACCUAUGAGGACCCAACAGAGUGAAAUACUUAGGAAUUUCUUGUUCAUGUAAUCAGUGAGUGGUUAUCUCAGGAUAACCAUGAGAUAGCAAGUACUUUCAUGUGAAAAGGGUUUUUCAACAGAGUUUGGAUUAAUCUAUCAAAAGCACCAUCCAUAAAAGUAUAAUUUGUUUCUCUGUUGUCUGAGUGAUCAAGAUGAUGUCCAGAUUUUCUUGCAUUUUACUGUACAGAUUUUGUCUCUGACACCUGAGACUUGUUAAUAACAGUGUUUCAAAUCCAGCAGACUGAUCAGGGAAGAACCUGUAGCCAGCUCUCAAUAAUGAGAGUCUUCGUAGGUGUCUAAAUAAAUGAGGCUCGGGGCACUGUCAGUAUACAACACAUCAAUUAGAUUUAGAUCCACAAGAAAGUAAGGAAUCUGGAUAUUUUUAGCUAUAAAUGGAUUCUGCCUGCCUCUACAAUUUUGAUGACAUCAAGGGGAGGGGAAAAUGUUUGCUGUUUUCAGUAGCUUCCUCCUGGGAGGAGUCAAAUCCACAGCUGUUCUUUCAUUUAGGAUUUUCCCCUACUCCCCCUCUUCUACUGAUUUAUUCAGAUAAUUUGUCUGAGCCCUAAGGUUUUCUGAGCUUUCUUUAAUGGGAGUUAUGUCUGCUGUCAGAUUCUCAAAUUUCCCUUGCAAGGAUUGAAAGUUUUGAGAGAUCUGUUCAAGUUAUCAGCAGCCAUAGUUUAAGCUAGGAAUGACAGCAGCAAAAGGCAGCUCCAGCUUUGGGAAUUUAGAAAUAUCCCCCUCUUCUUUUCCCCUCCUUCCUAGCAACAUCUUUGUUCCUGGCCAUUUAUUUUCACUGGUUACCACUAUGGU